rnacentral:rRNA from 1 species
UAGUCAUAUGCUUGUCUCAAAGACUAAGCCAUGCAUGUCUAAGUAUAAAUGGUAUACAGUGAAACUGCGAAUGGCUCAUUAAAACAGUUAUAGUUUAUUUGGUAAUCGAAUUUACAUGGAUAACCGUGGUAAUUCUAGAGCUAAUACAUGCUGUAAGCCCGACUUUUCGGAAGGGCCGUAUUUAUUAGAUAACAGACCAAUGCCCCCCCGGGCUUUGUGGUGACUCAUAGUAACUAAUCGGAUCGCAUGGGCCUGUCCCGCGACAAACCAUUCAAGUUUCUGCCCCAUCAGCUUUCGAUGGUAGUGUAUUGGACUACCAUGGCUUUUACGGGUAACGGAGGAUUAGGGUUCGAUUCCGGAGAGGGAGCCUGAGAAACGGCUACCACAUCUAAGGAAGGCAGCAGGCGCGUAAAUUACCCAAUCCUAAUUCAGGGAGGUAGUGACAAGAAAUAAUGGGUCGGAACUAACGUUCCGGGACCGCAAUGAGAUGAAUUUACACCCCUUUUCGAGGAUCAAUU